rnacentral:rRNA from 1 species
UACGUAGGGUGCAAGCGUUGUCCGGAAUUAUUGGGCGUAAAGAGCUUGUAGGCGGUUUGUCGCGUCUGCUGUGAAAUUUCGGGGCUCAACCCCGAACUUGCAGUGGGUACGGGCAGACUAGAGUGUGGUAGGGGAGACUGGAAUUCCUGGUGUAGCGGUGAAAUGCGCAGAUAUCAGGAGGAACACCGGUGGCGAAGGCGGGACUCUGGGCCGAUACUGACGCUGAGGAGCGAAAGCGUGGGGAGCAAACAGG